GAUGAACGCUAGCUACAGGCUUAACACAUGCAAGUCGAGGGGCAGCGCAGUGUAGCAAUACAUGGGCGGCGACCGGCGCACGGGUGCGUAACGCGUAUCCAACCUUCCCGUUACUCAGGGAUAGCCUUCCGAAAGGGAGAUUAAUACCUGAUGGUAUUCAAAUUUCGCAUGUUAUUUGAAUUAAAGAUUUAUCGGUAACGGAUGGGGAUGCGUGAUAUUAGGUAGAUGGCGGGGUAACGGCCCACCAUGCCUACGAUGUCUAGGGGUUCUGAGAGGAAGGUCCCCCACACUGGAACUGAGACACGGCCCAAACUCCUACGGGAGGCAGCAGUGGGGAAUAUUGCACAAUGGGCGAAAGCCUGAUGCAGCGACGCCGCGUGAAUGAAGAAGUAUUUCGGUAUGUAAAGUUCAUCAGCAGGGAAGAUAAUGACGGUACCUGACUAAGAAGCACCGGCUAAAAUAC
rnacentral:rRNA from 1 species